GGGACAUGACGAUACCAGAGAAUGGUUUCACUUUCUUAAGCUGAUGUCAUGUGAUGAUACAUUUCUCUUGGCUGUCUGAUCCU